UAAAUUUCAACUCACUAUGUUUUGAGUUGAGUUUUGGUUCACCAAUCUACUAGGCUUUGAAUUUCAUGGUUAAUGUUUUGUUUUUAAGUGCAUGCAAGCAUGAUUCCGCCUUUAAUUGUUAAUUGCAUGCUUAAUGAUGUUGCUUAAAUGAACAUGUUUUCACAAAAUAUUCCUUCAAGUGGUAUCAGAGCCUAGGUCUAGUAAUUGGUGAAUCCUUUUGGGUUUUGUAGUUCAUAGUUUGUGAUUUAAAAGU
rnacentral:lncRNA from 1 species